GCCAGGGUGGCGAAACUGGCAGACGCGCAUGGUUUAGGACCAUGUGGGGCAACCCUUGGAGGUUCGAGUCCUCUCCCUGGCACUA
rnacentral:tRNA from 1 species